ACUUUACAUAGAAGAGUAUUUUGAUAAAUUAUUUGUUUAAGUUUAAAGAAGCUUUGAAUAUGUUUUGUUGGGGCGACAAGAAUAAAAUAGGAAUUGUAACUGUUAAUAAAAAAAACAAAUAAUUUUUGAAGAAAAUAAUAAUGAUCCUUAAAAAAGAGUAGAAGACUAAGUU
rnacentral:rRNA from 1 species